GAUGAACGCUGGCGGCGUGCCUAAUACAUGCAAGUCGAGCGAACAGACGAGGAGCUUGCUCCUCUUACGUUAGCGGCGGACGAGUGAGUAACACGUGUAUAACCUACCUAUAAGACUGGGAUAACUUCGGGAAACCGGAGCUAAUACCGGAUAAUAUAUUGAACCGCAUGGUUCAAUAGUGAAAGACGGAUUUGCUGUCACUUAUUGAUGGAUCCGCGUCGCAUUAGCUAGUUGGUAAGGUAACGGCUUAUCAAGGCAACGAUGCGUAGCCGACCUGAGAGGGUGAUCGGCCACACUGGAACUGAGACACGGUCCAGACUCCUACGGGAGGCAGCAGUAGGGAAUCUUCCGCAAUGGGCGAAAGCCUGACGGAGCAACGCCGCGUGAGUGAUGAAGGUCUUCGGAUCGUAAAACUCUGUUAUUAGGGAAGAACAAAUGUGUAAGUAACUAUGCACGUCUUGACGGUACCUAAUCAGAAAGCCACGGCUAACUACGUG
rnacentral:rRNA from 1 species